GACGAACGCUGGCGGCGUGCUUAACACAUGCAAGUCGAACGGAAAGGCCCUGCUUUUGUGGGGUGCUCGAGUGGCGAACGGGUGAGUAACACGUGAGUAACCUGCCCUUGACUUUGGGAUAACUUCAGGAAACUGGGGCUAAUACCGGAUAGGAGCUCCUGCUGCAUGGUGGGGGUUGGAAAGUUUCGGCGGUUGGGGAUGGACUCGCGGCUUAUCAGCUUGUUGGUGGGGGAGUGGCUUACCAAGGCUUUGACGGGUAGCCGGCCUGGGAGGGUGACCGGCCACAUUGGGACUGAGAUACGGCCCAGACUCCUACGGGAGGCAGCAGUGGGGAAUAUUGCACAAUGGGCGGAAGCCUGAUGCAGCAACGCCGCGGGCGGGAUGACGGCCUUCGGGUUGUAAACCGCUUUCGCCUGUGACGAAGCGUGAGUGACGGUAAUGGGUAAAGAAGCACCGGCUAACUACGUG
rnacentral:rRNA from 1 species